rnacentral:rRNA from 1 species
UACGUAGGGUGCGAGCGUUACUCGGAAUUACUGGGCGUAAAGCGUGCGCAGGCGGCGCGUUAAGACAGGUGUGAAAGCCCCGAGCUUAACUUGGGAAUUGCGCUUGUGACUGGCGUGCUGGAGUGCGGCAGAGGGAGGUGGAAUUCCGCGUGUAGCAGUGAAAUGCGUAGAUAUGCGGAGGAACACCGAUGGCGAAGGCAAUCCCCUGGGCCUGCACUGACGCUCAUGCACGAAAGCGUGGGGAGCAAACAGG